rnacentral:lncRNA from 1 species
AUUCCAGGAAGCGUUUGCACAUCCUGGCCCCAGAGGAUUUUGCAUAGCCUCACCGAGAGAAGAAGUUGGAAAGAAAAAAAAAAAGAGAGAAGAAGUUGGCAAGGCAUCCAGAGGAGAUCACCACCCCCCCGCCCAGCACCUGGGUUCUCUGCCAGGGGAGAAAGGUCCUAGAAACAAGGACCAAUCCAGCAGCGACAAGCAUCCCUGGCACUCUGUCAUUUCCCUUCAACUGAAAUCAGAUCUUCUUGAAGAAAUGCUUGGCUCUCAGACUGGGAACGGAAAU